AGAGUUUGAUCCUGGCUCAGGACGAACGCUGGCGGCACGCCUAACACAUGCAAGUCGAACGGAGAUGAUUUGAGUUUACUUAGAUCAUCUUAGUGGCGGACGGGUGAGUAACACGUGAGCAACCUGCCUUUGAGAGAGGGAUAGCUUCUGGAAACGGAUGGUAAUACCUCAUAACAUACAGAUACCGCAUGGUGACUGUAUCAAAGAUUUAUCACUCAAAGAUGGGCUCGCGUCUGAUUAGAUAGUUGGUGAGGUAACGGCUCACCAAGUCGACGAUCAGUAGCCGGACUGAGAGGUUGAACGGCCACAUUGGGACUGAGACACGGCCCAGACUCCUACGGGAGGCAGCAGUGGGGAAAAUUGCACAAUGGGGGAAACCCUGAUGCAGCGACGCCGCGUGGAGGAAGAGGGUCUUCGGAUUGUAAACUCCUGUUGUUGAGGAAGAUAAUGACGGUACUCAACAAGGAAGUGACGGCUAACUACGUGCCAGCAGCCGCGGUAAAACGUAGGUCACAAGCGUUGUCCGGAAUUACUGGGUGUAAAGGGAGCGCAGGCGGGCGAUCAAGUUGGAAGUGAAAUCCAUGGGCUCAACCCAUGAACUGCUUUCAAAACUGAUUGUCUUGAGUAGUGCAGAGGUAGGCGGAAUUCCCGGUGUAGCGGUGGAAUGCGUAGAUAUCGGGAGGAACACCAGUGGCGAAGGCGGCCUACUGGGCACCAACUGACGCUGAGGCUCGAAAGUGUGGGUAGCAAACAGGAUUAGAUACCCUGGUAGUCCACACCGUAAACGAUGAUUACUAGGUGUUGGAGGAUUGACCCUUUCAGUGCCGCAGUUAACACAAUAAGUAAUCCACCUGGGGAGUACGACCGCAAGGUUGAAACUCAAAGGAAUUGACGGGGGCCCGCACAAGCAGUGGAGUAUGUGGUUUAAUUCGACGCAACGCGAAGAACCUUACCAAGUCUUGACAUCCUGCGACGAUGCUAGAAAUAGUAUUUUCCUUCGGGACGCAGAGACAGGUGGUGCAUGGUUGUCGUCAGCUCGUGUCGUGAGAUGUUGGGUUAAGUCCCGCAACGAGCGCAACCCUUAUGGUCAGUUACUACGCAAGAGGACUCUGGCCAGACUGCCGUUGACAAAACGGAGGAAGGUGGGGAUGACGUCAAAUCAUCAUGCCCUUUAUGACUUGGGCUACACACGUACUACAAUGGCGUUAAACAAAGAGAAGCAAGACCGCGAGGUGAAGCAAAACUCAGAAACAACGUCCCAGUUCGGACUGCAGGCUGCAACUCGCCUGCACGAAGUCGGAAUUGCUAGUAAUCGCAGAUCAGCAUGCUGCGGUGAAUACGUUCCCGGGCCUUGUACACACCGCCCGUCACACCAUGAGAGCCGGGGGGACCCGAAGUCGGUAGUCUAACCGCAAGGAGGACGCCGCCGAAGGUAAAACUGGUGAUUGGGGUGAAGUCGUAACAAGGUA
rnacentral:rRNA from 1 species